UCCGAUAUGGUGUAGUGGCUAACAUUAUCGCCUCUCAUAACUGUGUAAAGAUGACGAGAUUGGUCGCGAUAGCCCGGGGUUCGAUUCCCCGUGUCGGAA